UGGCUCAGAUGGUAAAGCGACUGCCUGCAAUGCAGGAGACCUGGGUUCGAUCCCUG
rnacentral:tRNA from 1 species